rnacentral:rRNA from 1 species
UACAGAGAUCUCAAGCGUUGUUCGGAUUCAUUGGGCGUAAAGGGUGCGUAGGCGGCGCGGUAAGUCGGGUGUGAAAUCUUGGAGCUUAACUCCGAAACUGCAUUCGAUACUGCCGUGCUUGAGGACUGGAGAGGAGACGUGGAAUUUGACGGUGUAGCGGUGAAAUGCGUAGAUAUCGUAAGGAAGACCGGUGGCGAAGG